rnacentral:rRNA from 1 species
UACGAAGGGGGCUAGCGUUGUUCGGAAUCACUGGGCGUAAAGGGCGCGUAGGCGGCCGUUCAAGUCGGGGGUGAAAGCCUGUGGCUCAACCACAGAAUUGCCUCGAUACUGGACGGCUCGAGACCGGAAGAGGUCAGUGGAACUGCGAGUGUAGGAGGUAGAAAUUCGUAGAUAUUCGCAAGAACACCAGUGGCGAAGGCGGCUGACUGGUCCGGUUCUGACGCUGAGGCGCGAAAGCGUGGGGAGCAAACAGG